GCAUGGUUGUCGUCAGCUCGUGUCGUGAGAUGUUGGGUUAAGUCCCGCAACGAGCGCAACCCCUAUUGCCAGUUGCCAGCAGGUUAAGCUGGGCACUCUGGCGAGACUGCCGUUGACAAAAACGGAGGAAGGUGGGACGACGUCAAAUCAUCAUGCCCCUUAUGUCCUGGGCUACACACGUACUACAAUGGCAACAACAGAGGGCGGCCAGACCGCGAGGUCGAGCGAAUCCCAAAAUGUUAUCUCAGUUCAGAUUGCAGGCUGAAACUCGCCUGCAUGAAGUCGGAAUUGCUAGUAAUGGCAGGUCAGCAUACUCGCUCCGAUAGUCCGGCCUU
rnacentral:rRNA from 1 species